rnacentral:lncRNA from 1 species
CUCACAAGAAAUUGUAAGAACACUUAUUGACAGUUCUUUAAAGGAGUAUUACUUUGCCAACAAUCCUUUGUCAGACGGUUGGAACCAUUAUUCAACAAAGAUUGCAAGAGAAGCCGCCGGAUAAGUAGUUUCAUUUAAAAUUAUGCCAUAUGGGAAACGAUUUGACCNNNNNNNNNNNNNNNNNNNNNNNNNNNNNNNNNNNNNNNNNNNNNNNNNNNNNNNNNNNNNNNNNNNNNNNNNNNNNNNNNNNNNNNNNNNNNNNNNNNNNNNNNNNNNNNNNNNNNNNNNNNNNNNNNNNNNNNNNNNNNNNNNNNNNNNNNNNNNNNNNNNNNNNNNNNNNNNNNNNNNNNNNNNNNNNNNNNNNNNNNNNNNNNNNNNNNNNNNNNNNNNNNNNNNNNNNNNNNNNNNNNNNNNNNNNNNNNNNNNNNNNNNNNNNNNNNNNNNNNNNNNNNNNNNNNNNNNNNNNNNNNNNNNNNNNNNNNNNNNNNNNNNNNNNNNNNNNNNNNNNNNNNNNNNNNNNNNNNNNNNNNNNNNNNNNNNNNNNNNNNNNNNNNNNNNNNNNNNNNNNNNNNNNNNNNNNNNNNNNNNNNNNNNNNNNNNNNNNNNNNNNNNNNNNNNNNNNNNNNNNNNNNNNNNNNNNNNNNNNNNNNNNNNNNNNNNNNNNNNNNNNNNNNNNNNNNNNNNNNNNNNNNNNNNNNNNNNNNNNNNNNNNNNNNNNNNNNNNNNNNNNNNNNNNNNNNNNNNNNNNNNNNNNNNNNNNNNNNNNNNNNNNNNNNNNNNNNNNNNNNNNNNNNNNNNNNNNNNNNNNNNNNNNNNNNNNNNNNNNNNNNNNNNNNNNNNNNNNNNNNNNNNNNNNNNNNNNNNNNNNNNNNNNNNNNNNNNNNNNNNNNNNNNNNNNNNNNNNNNNNNNNNNNNNNNNNNNNNNNNNNNNNNNNNNNNNNNNNNNNNNNNNNNNNNNNNNNNNNNNNNNNNNNNNNNNNNNNNNNNNNNNNNNNNNNNNNNNNNNNNNNNNNNNNNNNNNNNNNNNNNNNNNNNNNNNNNNNNNNNNNNNNNNNNNNNNNNNNNNNNNNNNNNNNNNNNNNNNNNNNNNNNNNNNNNNNNNNNNNNNNNNNNNNNNNNNNNNNNNNNNNNNNNNNNNNNNNNNNNNNNNNNNNNNNNNNNNNNNNNAUGCCAGAACGGGUUUGUAGUAGAGGAAACAUAAGAAGAUGUAAAGACUACGGACAGUUUAGGUUCAAAUGGCGAGAAAUAAAACAUUUGACCAAAAUUCAGGCUGGGACUUGUUACUGUAACAUUUUCCUUUGACCUAAGUGGCGAAAAAUUGAAGUUUCAGUCUACUUGUAAUUUCUUGACUUUUGACCUACUGACUUAAAUAUAUAAGACCUCUUACUUCUAAGUGCCACACUAAAGCUAAGUGUUUGGUGAUUACUGAAGGUUAAACAUAUGGUUCAAAAGACCAAAAUUAAAUAUCUGCGCCUAUUCUACUAUUUGGUACUGCAACGUCAGCCUUGAACUUUAAAUGAUACCAACAUCAAAAGGCGGGUGUUUUUCUUAUCAAGGAGCGUUUCCGAAUUUAAUUAUACCAUUCGGUGGUUUCGUGAAAGCGUUUUCGCACCAAGCGUGAGGGGUCAUGGGUUUGAAUCUCGGUUGGAUCAAACCAAAGACUUUAAAAUUUGUCUUUACUACUUCUCUGCGAAGCACACGACAUUAAGGAGUAAGAGCAAAGACUGGUGCACAAUUUGUCCUGGUAUGGUGACAUGUCUUCAUGCGGACUGUUGAAGUACGAAGGCUUUUCUACCUCAGGCAUAGAUUACCUUAGCUGGAUUUGGCAAAACUUUUAGGAAUUUUGGUCCUCAAUGCUCUUCAACUUCGUACUUUAUUUGGCCUUUUAACUUUUUUGGAUUCGAGCGUCACUGAUGAGUCUUUUGUAGACGAAACGCGCGUCGACGUAUAUACAAAAUUUAGUCCUGAUAUCUAUGAUGAGUUUAUUUACCUUGUCAACAAGCAAGUCCUUCUCAGUUUGUCGGUCUCGUAAUUAUUAGAGUAAUAAUUAGUUGCCUUAACAUGUUCUUGUCCUGAAAAUACAUUUAAUUUGACGUUAGACGUUAAACAGUCAUUUACCACAAUCACCAUAUGGCAUUACAAUCAAAUUUGGUAAAAGUGGAACGUAUAAAUUAUAGCUACCGUGAACCACAUAUCUUUUUGUCAAAAUUUUAGUCUAAAUGUAUCAAUAACUGCUUGGACAUUGACCUUUAUCCAGUAAAAAAUUAUUAUUUUUCGUCGCCUUUGGUGCAUGAUGAUGUUAAGUACAAAUUUGCUAAAUGGUGGACAUAAUUUAUAAGUUUGUUAAUUUUCAACAUCUUUAGUGUUUACCUCCUUGGUUUACUAAUAAACAAUUCAAUCGAGUUAUUUCUUUAGUCACUCAUAAUAUAGCUCCCCGUUGUACGUCAGUGCCUCACAUAUACAUGUAAUCACGUGAUUUGAAACCUAAGGUGUACUUGAUUAUACAGGUGGACGUUACAGGAUGGUAAGUUCAUCAUACUUAUGAUGAAGUAAUACAUGCGUGUAAUAUUUACAACUAUAAAUACCAUAAAAUCAAAUUGUAUAUUUUGUAAAUGGUCAAUAAAUGAGCAGAAAUUAUUUGUCAAUGCUUAAUAUGAAUAAUCGACAUGUCAAGUCAUCUUACACGACAAAUUCAUAGAUGGAUAUACGAAGAUGUGGUACGACAUCCAAUGAGACAACUAUCAAAGUAUCAAUUUUUAAAAGUAAACCAAUAUAGGCCGAAGUACGGACUUCAACACGGAGCCUAGCUCCCACCGAACAGCGAGCUAUAAAUGCCAGUGGCGGAUCCAGCCAUUUUUAAAAAAGGGGGGUCCCAACUCAGAUUAAAGGGGUGGGGGGUUCCAACUAUAUACUUCCAUUCAAAUGCAUUGAUCGGCAAAAAAAAGGGGGGUUCCAACCCCUGGACCCCCCUGGCUCCGCCACUGAAUGCCCCCAAAAUGACUAUUUAUCAAAUAGUACAGUAUUGGAAAAUAUCGAGUUUACCACUAGAUUAAUACUUGUAAAGGAAUGCAGUGUCUUUAACGUAAAUAAGCACACCCACCAAAACCAUAAUUAUUCCACAUGUAAUGUUAUCAAAUACAUAGAUAAUGGUUCUACACUAGUAAUUUUUGGGGCUAUUAAUAGCUUGCUGUUCGGUGUCAGCCAAGCCCCCAUGUUGAAGGCCGUAUCUUGACCUUUAAUGGUUUACUUUUAUAAACCUUUACUUGGAUGGAGAUUUGUCUCAUUGGCACUCAUACCAUAUCUUCCUAUAUCUCUAGAUACUCACAGAAAUCACAACAGCAACUGCAUGUAAAAAUGUUGUUCAUCUCUAGUAGAACUAUGGAACGAUUCGUAUAAAGGAUUAUACUUUAAAUAAUAAUUUUCUAAGAUAAUAUAAGAUGCAUUACAUUUGUGACCUAUACACCAAAUACCAAAUGGCAUUUUUUUUAAUUUUGCUUUUCAGCCCUUGUGGUCUAUAAAUGGACAACUGAACAUUUUUUCAGGACCGUAACUAGCCUCUUUUAAUAGUGAGGCAAAAUGUAUUCGCCGAGCGGAGCGAGGCGAAAAAGAAAAAAAAUUGGCGAGGGGUCCGGGAAACUCUGAGAAAAAUAACACAAAAUCGUGCAUUCUGAUCGUUUCUCGCACUCUUUCUGACAUUGAAACGCAAUUAAUUUUUAGCUAUUUUUUCCGACAAUAUUCUGGUCUCAAAGCAAAAACAUACUGGGCUGAUCUCGUAUUUCAUUUCAUGCAGAUUAUACAGCGAAUGGGUGAAAACCCCGAAGUAAACAUAGUUUGACAUCCACUCAACUGGAAACAAAUUGUCUUGUGAAGAAACUGUUAAACUUUUUAGAGCAACUAUAGAUUGGGAAUUUACUAUAUAUGGCAAUAAUAUAUCUGAAAAAUGUAAAAGGGCAACAAGAUAAUAAAAACGAAUGGUCAAAUAUUUACCAGGUUAGGCAGUUUAACAGCAUAUUAUUAAUUAAUUCUACCGAAUUUAGAUAUGGUCCAGUAAUUUGGCACGACAGUAACGAAAAAAGUGUUUUGAAAUUUGAAAAAAAAAAAUAAGAAAGAGCUCUUAUAUUCGUCUAGGAAGAUUAGGAUAGUUUAUACGAAAAACUGCUAGAAAAAAAUCAAAUAUUUCUACUUUAUAAAUAUGAAGAAUAUAGAGCUAUUGCAACAGAAACAUUUGAAAUAAUUCAUUGAAAAUUUCCAAGUUAUUUUCAUGACUUUAAUUGAUAUUUAAAUUCAUAAGUAUAAUUUUAGUUCACAAGAAACAACAGUACUCCCGAGAGUCAGGACUACCAGGUUUGAUUCGAUGAUGCUACACGUCUGGAAUGAGCUGCGUUAUAUAAUAUUGCCGCACAAAAACAUCUUUUGACCAAUUAAAAAAAUAGUACAUAAAUGGAAUCCAAAUAACAGCUCAUGCCAGUUCAGUGCAUGUAUAUAGCAGAGAUGGGUCGAUACUAUUCAAGUAAUUAUUAAUUACAAUUACUUUUCAUUUGUACCAUUAAUUAAUUAAUAUUACAUCAUUUACGAAAGUAUCUGAUUAAUUAAUGAUUACAUUGGCAAAUAAUCAUGAUUACAUCUGAUUCAAUGAAUUAAAAACACAAAAUUUGAUGAUGUGAAUAUAAACGUUCAAUAAUAUAGCAUUUUGAGAAGUAUUUAUUUGGUUCAAUUAUAAAAUGAUACUUCAAAUUAACUCGUCUAUUUAAAUAAACACAAUUUUACACAUAUAUAUAAUUACACUUUAUCCCAAUAUCUCUGAAUUUUUAAUUAAAUUUAAUUAAGAAUAUCUAAUCAAGAGUUUUUUGUUGUCUUCUGACUCUUUCAUAAUUUAUAGUAUUCCAAGUGCAGUUAUGGAGUUUAAAUAUGGAUAAAUAAAUACCAGUUAAAACUAUGUUUAAUUUUAAUAGAAAUGUUUAAUCAAAUUGUAAACAAUAUGUACAGUACCAAAAAUCAUUGCAUUUACAUGUCAGUCAAAUACAAAAAAAAUUAAAACAAAUAUUUGUCAACUUUUAAUUUAGUUGUGCUUAUAAUAAAUUUUCAUGUUAUUAUCUUUUAUAUAUAUAUCCUACAGCUAUACUGAAUUGGUAAUUGCAAUAAAACAAACCUUAAUUAGUCUCCUACCUGUCAUUCAAAGUUGACAAAAAUCAAAAAUUAACAAAUGAUAUAAUUCAGGGUUAAAGAAAAUAUUACUGAAUAUAAACAGUUAUUAUCAAUUUAAUAUGAAGAUCAUUAUAAAACGAUGAAUAUACAUGUAUGUACAAGAUCUUUUACCAAGAUAAAAGGUAAAUAAUUGUAUUAUAUGUCUCUGCUUAGGCUAAUGGUGACUUUUCAAUACUGUAACAGUUUAUUUUUUUUACUGAAGUAGACAUGCUAAAAGUAACCAAACCAUUUUAGUAUGUUUAAAAUUAAUCAAAUAUGAAUAACAAAGAGGUUCAUUUAAUGACCAAAAACACAAUUGUAGAGUUUUUUCAUUGUAAUCAGAAUGUAAUUAAAAAGUAAUCAUGAUUACAGGGUAUUUUGAAAGUAAUUAUUAAUUAAAUACAUGUAAUCAGAUUUUUGGCUGAAAUGAUUACACUGAUUACUUGAAAAAUUGUAAUCAAUUACAGCUGAUUAACGAUUACAAUUACAAUUACCCCAAGUCUGGUAUAUAGUGCUUUUGUUCUGUGCACUUUUAUUUUCUGUUUUGUUUGACUACUUGCUUUGUUGAGCUUUUUUUGUUACUAUUAUCUGAUGUGAUUGAUAUUGUUACUCGUGCAAUGUUUUAUGUUAUACUUUAUUUUGCAUACAAAUUUCAAAAACUUUUAACUUUUAUAUUUCUUCUAAAACAAACAUUUACAAAAUGCUGAUACAUAUUAUCGAGUGCAUACAUUGUAAAUUGUUUAUUUUAAACUUUUAUGAUUUAGAUAUACGUUUUACUAUUUUAUAAAUCAAAUAUGAGAACUUGAGUCAAAUCGGUGAACAUGAAUUUGACAGCUAAUGUCCCUUUAAUAAAUUAUGUUUGGUGAUUUAUAACAUUAAAUUUUGAAUUGAUAGCUCCAUUUUAGUACUUUGCAUAAUUAUUUAAUAAUAUAUAUAGGAACAAUACACAUACAAGAAAGUGUUGGAGUACGUUGUUGACUGCAAUAUUUUCGUAUCAAUGAUUUUUUAUUUUUUAUAUAUAAACCUUUAAAAAAUCGCAAAGAGCCAACAAAUUAUCAAUAUCAAAUCAUGGUCUUUAGAAAUAUAAAAGUGAGAAGAUGUGGUAUGAUUGUCAAUGGGACAGCAGUUACUUUCCACCAGAGUCCAAAUGACGUAAGUGUAAAUAAUUAUAGGGCAUCGAAUGUGCGGUCUUCUACAACUAGCAAAACCCAUAUAAAAUGAUAAUCUAUAAAAUAUCCAAAAUGAAAUCAAAAAUUACAGAAGCCAACCAACAAAUUGUCAAUUAUCACUAAACUGCAGAUUCUUGUCUUGGAACAUACACAUACAGGUUCACAUAUUUUAUAAUGUGGCAGGAGUUUUAUUUAUUUGUUCGGAGUUUAGUAUGACGUCCAUUAUCACUGAACUAGUAUACAUAUUUGUUUAGGGGCCAGCUGAAGGACACCUCCGGGUGCGGGAGUUUCUCACUACAUUGAAGACCCAUUGGUGGCCUUCGGCUGUUGUCUGCUCUAUGAUCGGGUUGUUGUCUCUUUGACACAUUCCCAAUUUCCAUUCUAAAUUUUAUUAUUUAUUUGUGAGCGCUCAACACUCCCUCUAAACUGGGACAGUGGCGUUAUACAGCGCAACAUAUCAACUGUAAAAAAAUAUUUGGAAAUUGCUUAACUCAACAAAUUGGUACGAAGAACAAAGAACAAAACUAAACAAAGAUAUAAAAAAGAGAUGUGGUAUGAUUGUCAAUGAGAUAACUCUCCACAAGAGACCAAAUGACAAAGAAAUUGACAGCUAUAUAGGUCACCGUACGGCCUUCAACAAUGAGCAAGGCCCAUACCGCAUUAUCAGCUAUAAAAGGCUCUUAAAUCACAAAUGCAAACGAGAAAUCUAACGGACAAAUUAAUACACAUACAAAUGAAAUGAACGAAAACCAAAUGUUUAAGACAGUAACAAACGACAACCACUGAAUUACAGGCUCCUGAAUUGGGACAGGCACAUACACAUACAUACAGAAUGUGGCCGGGUUAAACAUGUUAGCGGGAUCCCAUCCCCUAACAUGGGACAGUGGUGUGUCAGUACAACAUAAGAGCGAACUAUAAAAAUCAGUUGAAAAAAAUCUUAACUCAUCAGAUGGAUACAAAUAGAAAUACAUAGAACAAAAACACAGCCUGUGGACGUGGCCGUGUACUUGCUAACCCAACAACAAAAAGACACUAAGUACUGAUCUGAGAGUAGUCGCAGUUACUGACAGCUAGUAACAACUAAUAAUUAUUAAAAAAACAAGAGUGCUCGCGCUGAAAUGUCUCACCUUCUUUACAAACCGUUGAUAUUAUGUUGAUAGUACGGGGCGCCGAAUGGGACUCUUGUGGUUUUGUACUCGAAAUUCAAUUUUGUACGGACAAAAGUGAGUUUUGUUCAACAAAAAUGAGUUCAGUUUAACAAAUUUGUAGCAUACUACAAAUUUAAAUUUUGUCAUACAAAAUUAUCUUUCAGUGGACAAAAGUUAGCUUUGUCAUGACAAAAUUCAUUUUUGUAACACAGACUUUACUUUUGAUUACCUAAUUUGAAAAUUGGGCGACAAAAGUCAAUUUUGUAUGCAAAUUAGUUUAGUUUGGAUUCUGUGAACUAACUUGCAUACAAAACUGAGAUUUUGUCACAAAAUUCAAUUUUUUGUUUAUUUUUGUGUAGACAAAAUUGAGUUUUGUUAAACAACAGAGAUAAUUUAACACAAAAGUCAAUUUGUCUACACAAAAAUAAACACAAAAUUCAUUUUUGUCAUGACAAAGUUCAAUUUUGUGUUUAUUUUUGUGUAGACAAAAUUGAGUUUUGUUAAACAGAAGUGAAAAUUUAACACAAAAGUGAAUUUGUUACAAAAGUCAAUUUAGUGUCACUAGAGUCAAUUUUGUAUGCAAAUAAGUUUAUAUGACAAAAAUGAAUUUUGUCUACAAAAAUGAAUUUGUCUUGACAAAAAUGAAUUUUGUCAUCACAAAAUUGAAGUUCUCAUAAAACAAGUCUGUAUCACAUAGUUUUGUAAGACAAGAAAUGAUUUUGUUAUGACAGAAUUGAAUUUUGUACAAAGCCACAAGAGUCCCAUUCGGCGCCCCGACAGUGCUAAAUAUAAAGCUUUACUACAACUAUCACAUAAACCAUGAUCCAAGAAAAUGAAGUUACGGUCAGAUUAACCAAACCAGAAAUACAUUUACACCUUAUAAUAUUUCAAUAUACUUAAUAUAGCUUACCUAUUGCUUAUAGUUUCUAAGAUACAGACUCAACCAAGAAAACUAUAUAUUGACCAAUGAACUAUGAAAAUGAGUUCAAGGUCAGAUGAACAAUGCCAGGCAAACAUGUACACGGCCUUACAAUCAAUCUUUAUGCAUUAAAUAUAGUUGACCUAUUGCUUAUAGUAUCUAAGAAACAAACUUAACCAUUAAAUCUUCACAUUGACCAAUGAAACACCAAAAUGAAGUCUUAACUUUUUUUCAAGUAGUCACUGAACCAUAAAAAAUGUGAGAGACGGAAACUUCGUAACAUAAGGCAUUUAUAUACAAAGUGUACGAAGUAUCCAGGUCUUCCACCUUCUAAAAUAUAAAGCUUUUAAAAAGUAGUUUACGCCGUCGCCGCCGCCGCUGGAUCACUAUCCCUAUGUCGAGCUUUCUUCGACAAAAGUCGCAGGCUCGACAAAAAUCAUGCAUCUAAGACUAAAUCACUGCGGCAGUCAGUUCACAUCCAACAUCCAAUUGAUUUAUUGUAAAGACGUUAUGGGUCAUUAUAAAAAAGUGCAAAUUUCGACGAGGUAAUAUUUUGAAAAAUGAUGUCAUUGUUUAAAAAAUUUAAACGUGUCCCUGUGUUCUAUAGUAUGGUAGCAACGAUAUUCAUCAUUCAGAAAUGUUCAAUGGGGAAAAUGAAGAGUUCCUUCAAUUUUAACAUUUUUAGAUCAUCAUUUGAUAGAAUCGUGGCAAUGGUGUUACCAAUUCAAAACAUACACUUAGGUACUAAAUAUUAUUGUUAAACAUCAAACAACUGUUCCAGUUUGUUGUUUAGGUUUAAAUUACGACUUAUUGACAUUAUUAGCUGUGCAUUCUAUUCAAACAUAAAUUUCAGAAUACAUUGACGAAAACAAAAUUGGCUGUCCUAAUUAUGGCCGUUAUAAUACUAAAAAUACACUUAAACUGAAUAUAUGUAAAAUGUAUAAGAUUAAAUGAUAAGAAUAUUUCUAAUCCUUCGUAUACGACCUAAAGUACUUUAUGAAUAAAAUUAAAAACAUGUUGCAUUUUUAUAUAGUAACACCACUGACCCUCCAGUAACACCAAUGACACAAAAGUAUCACCAUUGACAUCACAUUUCAAAUUUUACUUUUAUUAAGUACUGAACACAAAGCCAAGAACACCGAGCAAAAGAAAAAGAUAAAAAAAAAUUCUUAGGCUACAAAAUCUCAAAAUAAAUAACAUAAGAUCAAUAACUUAAAAUGUCAAUAGUGUUAUUGGUGUUACCAGCAUACAUCAGUUUGUGAAAACUUUGUACACGUAAUACAUGAUAUUGUUAAAACAUUGUUAAAUAAGUAUUGUUUUCAUAAAUAAUAUGAUGUUUCGCUUAUUAAACAUUAAAGAUAUGAUAUAUUCAGUGGUGUUACUAAUCUGGUCAAUGGUGUUAUUUUAUCAAAAUGGUCUCACCAUUGACAGUAACACCAAUGAUUUAAGGUGCAUUUUAAGAUUUAGUUACGAAAUAAGUGCUCCAUUCCUCUAUUCUAUAUGUUGUUACUGGUGCAUGUUUCUAUACUCAAUAGAUUUCAUAAUUCAAAGUUCAGGAAAUAUUUUCAAGAAAUGAUUUUUAUAAGGGUACCCCAUGGACACUAUUUUCAUUUAUGAUAUAGCUUUUACUUACUUUUAAGAUAUUUUCACUAAAUUUUCAACAUAAAUGUUUGUUUUUUCUGUGUAUAACAUGCUCAUAGGUAACUUUGCUAAGGGAGAAACUAUUGCAAAUGCUGAAAUUUUGAGAAAGAUAUCUCUUACCCUACCAAUUUGUCUUUUGGUUACACCAUGUGUGCCCAGUGUACAAAAAUAAAGGCGAUAAAGAUAUCAUGUCUUAUUAUCGACCAAUUACUCUACUAUCAUCUGUGUCCAAGAUCCUUGAAAAAAUCAUCUACAAGGCUAUUUUUGAGACUUACUCAUCAGUGAAAAUUCGGGCUUUAAGAAAAACGAUUCAACAGUGAAUCAACUAAUUACUAUUACACAUAAAAUUUACAAGUCAUUAGAUAACGGUAAAGAUGUAUGUACAAUCUUUUUAGAUGUUUCAAAGACCUUUGAUAAGGUUUGGCACAAAGGCCUGCUUUUCAAACUUAAACAAUUUGGCAUAUGUGGUUCUUUUUUGUCUCUUGUAGAGAAUUACCUCUCAGGUCGUACUCAAAGAGUCGUUAUUAAUGGUCAGACAUCAUCGAGUCAAAACACCUAUGCUGGUGUACCCCAGGGCUCUAUACUCGGUUCUCUGCUUUUUCUUAUACAUGUUAAUGAUAUUAAAGAUGAAAUUUCCAGCAAUAUCAAACUGUUUGCUGAUGAUACUUCCCUUGUUAAACAAAUUCAUAACAUCUCUGAUUGUUUUCAAACUCUGAACAGUGACCUCGUCACGUCGAACACAUGGGCCUAGCAAUGGUGUGUAACAUUCAAUGCAGAAAAAACUGAGUAUCUUAUUAUUUCUAAGAAGAAGCAAAUACCACAUUACCCUCCAUUGAUCUUAAAUAAUGUAAAUAUAAAGAGAGUUACAUACCAUAAACAUUUAGGUCUUAUCUUGAAUGAUAAACUUUCUUGGACCGAUCAUAUUGCUGAUAUUUGUAAGAAAUGUCAUAUUAAACUGAACACUAUCUUGAGGAUGCGACAUAUAUUACCUAGAUUAUGCAUUGAAAAUUUAUAUAAAACAUGUGUUCGUUCAUUGCUUGAUUAUGCAGAUGUCAUCUACGAUAGCUGCUCUAGCGCCGAUUCUGCAAACAUUGAACAUGUACAGAGACGUGCCUGCAUUAUAUCUACUGGUGCAAUCAGGGUCACAAAACCUGUCACUUUAUUGAAAGAGGUUGGUCUUGAGCUUCUUAAAACACGCCGUCAAGUUCAUAGACUUACAUACUUGUACAAAAUUAAUAAUCAUCUUGUCCCAGAUUAUCUCUAUAAUUUUCAUCCAUUGUUCCAUCAUAAUACUGAAAACUAUAACUUAAGACGACAUGCUAACUUGAUACCCAUCAGGUCAAGAACAGUAGCAUACUAUAAUUCUUUUCUUCCAGCUACGAUUAGAGAUUGGAAUAUUUGUCAGAACUAAUUACAGCAACAUCUUUGGCGAGUUUCAAAAGGUUGUAAAAGAAGAAUCUCAAUUUGUGCAGUAAAAAAUAUAUUCACGAGGAAAUGGUUAUGAGAAAAAGAUUCAUACUAGAUUACGCUUAGGGCUUAGUGCUCUUAAUGACCACUUGUAUAAAUAUAAUCUUACAUUAAAUAGGUUUUGCGAUUUCUGCCCAUUGCGAUUUCUGCCCAGGUAACCGUAUUGAAAGCACUCAAGCACUAUUUAAUUCAUUGCGCCCGCUACACGAACUAUCGGAUUACUCUUCUACUUGGAAUUAAGAAUCUGCUUUGUCCAGAGAUAUAAAUAUGGCAAGUUGCCGGAUCUAUGUCCCAACUAUCUGAGCAAAAUAUUAAUAGAAGGUAGUGAUGAUUUGUCUGAUGAUACUAAUUUAGAGUUGUUUGAGUGUGUGUUUCGAUUUAUUAUCGAACAGAUUUUCUCGAUAGCUAAAUAACUUAUUUGUUCUUUAACUUUUUUUUCUUGUAAUAAAACAUAUGAGGUUUGAAACACAUAUUUCUUUUGACCUGAUUGUGCUCAAAAUUGUCUUUCCAUAAUCACUAUUCUAUAUUACUGAAUCAUAUAUGUGUGUUAAGUCGUGUGCAUGUGAGUAAGAAUGAGCGAGUGAUGGGUUUGUAGUCAAAUUAUAUUUGUAUAUCUUGUCCUGUACAUAUUGUCUUGUCUUUAACAUGUUUGUAUUCAAAACUUUGAUAAUUGUGAAUCUGUAUAUAUCUAUGUUGAGGAGACCCACACAUAGCCGCUGGCUGUUGGCAAUCCUCUUUAAAUAAAUAAAGAAUUAAAUUACACCAUUAACAUAAAAAAUGAGACAUUUCCUUUUGGUGAAAUUUUUUAUCAUAAAACCAACAUGCACCUCCCAAAAUCAUUAAAAAAUGUUUGUAUGUAUCAAAAUGCAAUAAAAACUUAAAGUGACAAAUCCUAAUAACAAAUGAUAUGAAUAAUAGUCCUUUUUCAGGUCUGAAAGGAUUUAUAGUAAAAAAAAUAACAGUUUAUUCUGGCUAUAUCCAAGGGUUUAAGAAAACAUUAAGGAUGUUUUUAUAACAUUUCAUACUGUAAACUGCAUGUGUAUAGUGUAUCACAAAACAUUCAUAUCUAACAUAUGCAAGUGUUUUUUUGAUACAUUUUGAUAUAUUUUGAUGUAUUUCAACUUAAACAUACCAAAUAACAUAAUUUUGCAUGGUUUUUUUUUUAUAAUGACCCUUAUAAAGAGUCAGAAUAAAACAUGACAUUGUGCAAUUCCAAGAUACAAGAGUCGACAGAUUACGAUCCGCAAAAGUGCAAACAAAUAAAAGACACAAAUAACCGCCCAAAGAGUACUGGCAAUUAUACUGAAAGUUAGUUCAUAGAAACUUCCAAAUAAUAAAUAAAUCAAGUAAUCUCAGACUUAAGUAUUUGUCAGUAUACAGGCAUCCGACGGAUUUUGUAUAGAGACGUCACGCCAAGAGGCACGUGUCUAGUGCAUGGGCAACCAAACUGUAGCAAUUUUCUAAUUAAAAUGAACUACUUGACAAAUAAAAAUAUAACAAUCCUUUAUGAUUGAGUACUUGCUGCUUACCUUCUCAUUCUGACUGGGAUAAGAUUCAAGUGCCCAAAUAACAAAUACGGAACUACCCCUUGAUAAAAAAAAAUAUAUCUCGUUUCCUUUUAUUUGCUAUUCAAAAACAUGUGUGGCCGGAAUAAGGGGCCAGGGGGUGCCAACCUCUAAUUGUGCUACAUAUUUGAUAAAUGCGUAUACUUUUUACAAGCAUAAGUCCACAUGUUAAAUAACAAUUAGGGCGUCCACCGUUACAAAUUCCUGGAUCCACACCUGAAAAUGUACCAUUAUUGAAGCCCCUAGAAGAGUCAAAUAUACCUCCCAAUACUAUGUAUAACCACAUUUAGAGCAGUAAUCACAAAGUUGACAAAUAGUUUCUGCUUCUUGUUCAUUUAUUUAGAGAAUCAAGAUGUGUCAUAAUAGAUUCUAACUUAUUUUUCUACUUAAAGAAUCAGUUAUAUCUCAUGUUCGUCCUGUAGAUCAAACACGUUAGCCUUGCACUUGUUUCAUAUUAUAUUAGUGUUUUUCAGAAAAUAUUGUUUUCGUUUUGAUUUGGUUUUGUAAUUGAAGUGUUUAUAAUAUUGCUAUUAUUUUGUUGUGUGUGAUUCCUGUAGUAUUAUUUUCGUUUUUGUGUUACAUAUCUAUUGUUUAUAUAUGUAUUGCAUAUGUUCUUGUAAAUAAUAAUAUUGUUUGUAUGCUAAUAGUCAGUGGCGGAUCCAGAAAUUUUAACUUGAUAAGUGGGGCCCCACUGACUGACCUUAGAGGGGGCCCGCUCCAGUCACGCUUCAGUGAUUCCCUAUAUAUGCAACCAAUUUUUUUCCCAAAAAGGGGGGCCCGGGUCCCCUUGGCCCCCCCUAAAUUCGCCUCUGAUAGUAUGCCCUUGGCCCGAAUUUAGUGAAUACUGAGAAACAUUCCGCUAUCCUAUUCUAUUCUUGUCCGUUUCGCUCUUGAAACUGGUAUCCGCUUUUUCAGUAAUUUCCCCUUUCCUAUGUUUUAUUCAAAUAUCAAUAAAAACAUUAAAAACUUUAAAAAAAUAAAAAAAAAGCUGAAAACUGUACGAUCAGUUUAAAUUUUCAGUUUAGUAUUAUUUAAGUUUGCGUUCAUAUCUGAACUAUAAUCUAUUUUUAGACGAAGUUUAUAACUCUAAAACUAAAAAAAAAUGGAAUUUCGAUAUUUUAAAACUUUGAUAAAAAAUCCAAAAAUCUAAAAUUUGAAAACUUUAAAAUUUUUAUUAUUGAUAUUUAAAAUAAAGUGUUACACGGACCUUAGGUGAUUUUGGUGAAUAAAAUAUUCUGUUCUAUUCUAUAAUCUUGCGUGCAGAUAUUUUUUUAAGGAUUUUUAAAAAUAACAAACUAUAACUCUGUAAAGUUCUUUCUCGACAAUCAAGCGUUUUGUGUAGUCCUGCUAGUUAAAAAUUUAUCCUUGCUUCGGAAUACCUGUUUCUAAUUAUAGAAUUCAUUUUAUUACUCAGAUAGAAAGCAUGUGCUUAUGACGUCAAUUCACAGUGCGUCAAUCAUCCCCGUUUACUACCAGUCUAAUUAUAGUACAAAGAAAGAUCGGAAUCCCUUAAUUUUCGAGUUCGUUUAUGCAUGGUAGGUCAACUCAGUCAUCAAUUCAACAACACAAUGUGCAUUUUAAUUGUACUUGUUCAAAAUAUUACAAUUAACGGGCAUCUUCCCUUCUUAAGCAAAAGCUGAUGCAAUAAAGCACUGACCGUCACAUUUUAUGAAUCUAAAAAUAAAUAAUAGAUUAUUACGCUUUUGGAAAAUUUUGCUCUUUUGGAAUAUUUUUUUAAUUCUUGUUAUAUAUAAAAUGUUACUUGAACUAUUUGAAAUGAUUUUAAUUACAUUUUGAAUUUGUAGUUUGUGUGUUAAUUGAGAUAUUGAAAUAUAAUUUCAUGCAAAUCGGAGAACUAUAUUAUGCGAACGAACCGGACUGUGGAAAUUCUCGAACUUCCGGGAAUUAUCCAUGUCGAAAAAUAUAAGACAACAUGUUUACCGUUACACAGAUCAUUUUUAAAGCAACACACAAAGAAGAUAAUAAUUAAAUAGUUCAAAAUGUAUGGAAUAGUUGAAAACAGAAUUUGGAAUUUAUAUAAACAAUACAAUAGUGUGAAUUGUGUUUCUGAUAACCAAGAACAAUCUGGCUGGAUAUUUUGCGGAGUAAGUCGUAAUUCUGAUCCCAGCUCACAAGAAAUUGUAAGAACACUUAUUGACAGUUCUUUAAAGGAGUAUUACUUUGCUAACAAUCCUUUGUCAGACGGUUGGAACCAUUAUUCAACAAAGAUUGCAAGAGAAGCCGCUGGAUAAGUAGUUUCAUUUAAAAUUAUGCCAUAUGGGAAACGAUUUGACCCUAAUCACGUAACACGGGUACCUUUCAUGAGACUCGACAGUACGGGUGAAAUUUCGUCAGAAAGUUCGGACAUUGACACUAUGAUUGACCAUAGUUCCAGGAAGAGUGGUAAUAAUAAACAAUCAUUCAAUAGUAAAGGGGUUGACCUCAGGAACAUGUUUAAUAGAAAGUAUACCAACUUAGGUGGGUACAGAAAUAAUUUGACUGCCGAGGAUAGCCAUAAUUCAUGUAAAAUACUGAAGGAUAUUGUAAACAAAACAAUUAUAGACGAUUCUAAACCAAUAAUGACUGAAUCAAGAGGACAAUCUUAUUGUCCGCUCACAUCCCAGAGGCAGAGCAAUAUGUGGAACAACAAACCAAUGGCAAUGUUCCAUCCUGCGGUAGUGGCUUCAACGAUUGGCAUAACAGCGCCAUCGAAUACAACAUCGGAAAGAUCAUACAUUCCAAAAAUGACUUAUUGUAAUUUGAAUCAGUGCUAUAAAAAUAAAUUCAAGCAAAACUAUUUAGCAAAGAUUUCUUGCAAAUCUGCUGGUGCUACAGGUAGUGUAAAUCAGACAAAGCAUUCCAAUAAUCCUUCCAGAAAAAACUGUGAUACAGAUAGAAUUUUAAAUGAUGUAAAAACUAAUAAUAUAGAAUCUGUUUCAAAUGCUACUUCUAGUCCAGAUACAGAAAGAGUGCAAUCAAAUCCAAAGCGUUGUGAUGAAGAAAAAUGUGAACCGGAAAAUGGCAGCAAAAAAACACUUUCAGAGAAUCCUAAAGAAAGGGAAAAAAGCAGCCGAUUGGAACAACAAAAAAAGGAUAGUGAAGACAGUUGUGAAAUACCUGACAACAAUGGCGAAGUUGUAAACAGUUGGUUAGAUUUAUGUACAGAUGAUGAAUGUGAUGAACUGAAGACUCGGGUUGUACCUGAUUCCUCAAAUUAUGAAGUUGUGGAAGUAGAGGAAAGUGGCAAAAAUAUAACGUGUGAAAAGAAGUCUAAUAUUGACAAAAUUGGAGGCAAUGAAAUGAAUGACAAUUGCAAGAGCUUCAGUUUCAGGAAAUUAGAUGGAAAAUCUUCACAGUUUCAAAUUCAAAUUAAUGCAACCAACUCUCAACAAUCUCCUAGUAGCAUGAGUAGUGAAACAGAUAAAAACAGUGAAGAACAUACAUUAGAAGAUAAAUCUUUUAUACUUUUUAUAAGGAAAGAAAAUAAAAAAUGUAGACCCUCAGCUAAAAGGCGACGAAGAUCCAAAGCUAAAAAGGAAGAUGCUACAGAGGAGACAAGUCAAUCAGACGAUUCUUUCCAAAAGUGCCAAAAUCCAGCAGUUGCUUUCAUGUUAGGUUUUAGUCCAGACAGUAACACUAGUGAAUCACAAAAUCAACCUUCACAUUCUUUUUUUAUGACUUUUGAAGAUGAUGAAGACUUCAGCGAUUGGUCAGAUGAUGAAGAUGAUGAUGAUGAUGAUCAAAUUGAUGGAAACUGUUUAGGUUCAGAUUUUCUUGACUCUGCAUUUAGCAUGCCUUUAAAUUUGAAUGUUAUUUGCUCUGUGAAACAACCAGAAACAGAUGAACAUUCCAAAAAUUUAAAAGACAUAAACCAUGCGUGGGAAGUUCAAAUUAGAAGACAUCCUUCAACAGCCAAGAUUGAGGAUCCAAAAAAAUCUAAGAAAAAAACCAAAAAGGUAUAUAUAUUUCUAGAUACAUGUACAAUCAUGUAUGUUAGAUAUUGUUGGAAUGACAAUUUACAUGUACAUAAUUAGAAGUGAAUAUUAUGAAUACUAAUAGUUACAAAAAAAACUAACAACACUAAGGUUACAUCAAUGCAAGUAAAAAACAGUCACCACUAAAACAAAACUGGUUGGUAAAGAAACACCCCCCAAUUUUAUUUUUUUUUAAUAUUUCACACAAUUUAUCCAAGGUCUUUAGGACUGUAUGUCCCUUAACAUACCCUAUAUUUAUAAAAAGAUGUAAUGCAAAUGUAUGAAUGCCAAUGAGAUAAGUUUUCACAAGAGACCAAAUGACAUAGAAAUUAACAACUAUAGGUAACCUUCAACAAUGAGCAAAGCCUAUACUGCAUAGUCGGCUAUAGCAUGUAAAGUACUAAAUAUAGUUGCAUACUGUUCAUACAUCUUAAAUCUUUUGUCUUUGGUGAAAAGUUUUCUGAUAGUCUCUCUGUAUCAUGUGACAUCUCCUUAUGUUUAUGAUAGCAAUUAAAAGACUGAUAAGUUGGUGUUAACCUAAAUUUACAAAUUAAUUUUGCUUCAAUUUUAUGUAUUUAUAUAAUUAUUAAUAUAUAUACAUGUACAAUGUAUAAUGUAUAUUUAUGAUGUUUAUAUAUAUUUCAGGUACACUUUCCAGAGGAUGCAAAGAUUGCCAAAGUACACAACAUGAUUACAUGGGCACAUGCAUAUCAGGCAGCAAGAAAAGGCCAGUGGCGGGAAAAUGCACUUGAUCAUGAACGUUUUCAAAGACGCAUAGAUGACACAGAAAAAAUUCUUACUCCAGUAUUAUUAACAGAACAUAGAAAUAAAAUGUACAAAUUACUAUCAGAAUCUUAGAUGUAAACAAAAAACAAAUUUGUAACAGAUAUGUUAAAAUAGGAGGUUAAAAUGCAAAAUAUGAAAAAUGGUAAAAAUACAGGUAGCCUGAAAAUAUGGAUUCAAUUUUUGUUACUAAUUAUUUCACAGUCCCAAUUAUCCAUUCUAAAAUUUGAACUUUAAAUGGUUUUUAAAUGUUUAUAGGCAAUUAGUUUCAAAUUAUAGUUGUGAUCUUUUUUUCAAGAUAUUAUAUUUGUAAAUGACUUGAUAUUAUAAUAUUUUUUAUGAUUUAUACAACAUUUAGACUUGGCAAUUGAAAGUGAUAUACCUCAAGAUUACAGAAAUAAUUUCAAUUAUAGUUUUCAAUAUAACUGUUCUGCUGUUAUCUUCUGUCUUGACUGUCAUGUGUUUUUUUUACAAUUUUAGACUGGAAUGAAUAAAAGAGGUGAAAUUUAAAAUUAAUGCAGAGUAUUAUCCCCUUAAAAAAAUGAUUUCUCUCCCUUGUGCUGGGUAUUCAUACAGAAAAAAAUAAUAAAUUGUUUUGAAUUUGGUGAUGGUUACUUCAUCAUGCUCAUUACUUUUAAUUGCAGAAUUAAAUUUACUAUUAAUGUUUCCAAACAUUUACUUUAAACUUAGAAUGGAGAAAAAUGCUAGACAGAUUUUUAAAAAUAUUUAAUGGAGAAAAGUCCAAAAUAUUAUUUCAGUCUUCCAAGAUAGGAUUGUAAAAAUAUAUAUUUGAUAAUUUCUUUUUCUGCAUGCAAGUUAGAUAUAUAACAGGGUUUGUUCAAAGUUACACUAUGUAUAUCAUUUAUAUGUAAAUAAGUGGCGGCAAAAAUCUGUGAUAGUAAAGGCUGUGCUUAAAUAGCAGUUGAAAUUUGUUUUCUUUAAGGAAGACAUUUGUAAAAGUUUCUUCACUGUUGAGCAAUUUGGAAGUAUAUAACCAAUUUUCUCAAAUGAUUAGAUACAUUAGAUAUACAUGCCUUAGUCCUGUAAUGGUUUGAAAAGUGGUUCAGACUCCAGUCUCCAGAGUUUGAUAUGCAAUCAUGACAAUGUUGUUAGGCUAUUUUAUAUUUUUACUUUCCAUCAUUAUUGCUUCAUUGUUUAUAUAUGCAAUUAUGCCAUAUUCAUGAUAUUUACCCAAUUUUACAUUGUAAUGUUUGGGAUAAAUCUUCACUGCUCAUCUGGGUUUUUACAUGGAAGUUUUGUCAUCAGUGAAAAACAAAUACACUUACAAUUAAAAUUGAAAUAGGAUAAGAUUUGUAUUGUAUUUGUUAAAUUUGACAAUCUUUAAAAAUGUAAAUUCUUUAGUGGAUUAACCUUAAGAAGUUAAUUAAAAAAAUACAUUUAGAUACAUGUAUGCAUGUAUACACAUCUGAAUAAAAUAAAAAUCUACCCAAAUUCUUAAAAUUAUGUAAGGUCAAAAUAUGUUUUGAGCCCAUCAGCUGUGGCAAACUGCUAAUUGUAAUGUUCGUCCAAUGAUAUUCAUCUGACAUCAUGCUUAUGGGAAAAUGGCUUAGAACUUGUCAGUUUUUUAUAUAUCCUGUAAUUUCUAGUAUAUAUUUUGUUUUAUUUGUGCAAUUGUCUUUUUCAUGUUAAUUUUAGUCGAAACAAAUUUUUGUUCACUCUUACAAUGUUAUCAUUUAUGAAUGAAUAGUGGUUGAUAUUUUAUUGAAAUCCUGUUGAGUGUUGUAGUAAUGAUUUUUUCUGUCAGAAGAUGUAAUUGACUUUAGGAGCUAUCUUGAACUUGUGUUAUGCGAGCUGUGUUCUUUCAAAGGCUUCACUGUUGAAUUUAUAAUGUAUGAAAAUUAUUAUAAAUUUAAAAAUGACAAUUUUGAUCAAAAGAAAAUAUAUUAAUCUUUCAUGAAUUUUUUAUUUGAUACUAAAUUAUGUACAUUCUAGGUGAAACAUGCUCAAUUCAAACACUGAAAAUAUUAUAAUCUGUGCAAAUUGUUGAUUAUUUUUAAACUAUGAAUGAUUAAAUAUAUAUAAAGAUUAUAGUUUGUUGUUUUAUCUUUUAGCAUAUAUAAAAACAAGAGUGCACACGCUGAAAUGUCUCGCCUUCUAUACUAAUCAUUGAUAUUAUGUUGAUAGUCCUAAGUAUAAAGUUAAGCUUUAUAACAACUGUCACAUAAACUUAACAUUAACCAAGAUAACUAAACAAAGACCAAUGAACCUUGAAAAUGAGGUCAAGGUCAGAUGAACCAUGCCAGGCAGACAUGUACAGCUAGCAAUGCUUCUAUACAACAUAUAUAGUUGACCUAUUACUUAUAGUUUAAGAAAAAUAGACCAAAACACAAAAACUUAACACAGUGCAAUGAACCGUGAAUAUGAGGUCACGGUCAAAUAAAACCUGCGCGACUGACAUAAAGAUCAUAAAAUAUUUCCAUACACCAAAUAUAGUUGACCUAUAGCAUAUAGUAUUAGAUAAAAAGACCAAAACUCAAAAACUUAACAUUGACCACUGAACCAUGAAAAUGAGGUCAAGGUCACAUGACAUCUGCCCGCUAGACAUGUACACCUUACAAUCAUUCCAUAUAACAAAUAUAGUAGACCUAUUGCAUAUAGUAUGAGAAAAACAGACCAAAA